CAGUCGCCACGGUAAUACGAAGGGUGCAAGCGUUACUCGGAAUUACUGGGCGUAAAGCGUGCGUAGGUGGUGGUUUAAGUCCGUUGUGAAAGCCCUGGGCUCAACCUGGGAAUUGCAGUGGAUACUGGGUCACUAGAGUGUGGUAGAGGAUAGUGGAAUUUCCGGUGUAGCAGUGAAAUGCGUAGAGAUCGGAAGGAACAUCUGUGGCGAAGGCGACUAUCUGGGCCAACACUGACACUGAGGCACGAAAGCGUGGGGAGCAAACAGGAUUAGAUACCCGUGUAGUCCCUGUCUCUUAUAA
rnacentral:rRNA from 1 species